CGUCGUCGCUGUCCUGCUGCCGUUGCGCCCACUCCUCCCCAGACCCCGCCUCCUGCUCCUCUCCUUCCGAGUCGCUGCGGUUGAAGUCGAUCUUCUGAGCCAACUUGGCCAAAUUCUCGGACAUGGACAACGGUUGAACAUAGGCCUCAGUCCCAUCCAGAGCCACCUCCUGAACCUGAUUCUCACAGGCCGCCUCGAUACUGAUAGUAACAGGCAGACCAGCCGCCAUUUCCGCAGCGCGACCGAACACAACAACAGGCAAAGGAGGAGCCCGGACGUAUAAGUAAAAAGCAAGAACUUGGGCCCAGCCACCUGCAAUACUGCGCACGCGUAAUGCCCCGCCCCAUGACGUCCCUCCCUCCUGGUAAUGAGUUGAGGAUUUGUUAGGCUGGGUGAUACUAAGUAGUUUAUGUUUGAGAUUCGUUGUCACGUUGACUUUGGAUGAGGAAGGACACCACUUUGAUUGGGACAACACAUCCAUCCUAGGACAAGACAAACAGAGACACGCACGAGAAUUCCUAGAAGCAUGGCAUUCCAACUGGAACUCCAUCAACAAACACAUUGAUUUGGAGCCAAUCUACCAUCCUCUGAGAAAAAGAACAGGAAUGACAUCACCAAUGCAGGAAAUGACAUCACCAACCCAAGGAAACCUAAACAGAUAAAUAGAAAGCGGGACAUAACACCAGCGCUUCAUCGGAGGCUCACUGAUGACGUUACCUAGAAUGGUGACGAAACGUCUGAAAACUAACCUUCCAGCUCAGCGAGCAAACUCACAUCCAGAACCUUAACCUGAGCUACAAAUCUUCUCAAAACUCGCUAAUACCAAUGGUUUAUAUCUAUUUACCUGCAAUUAUAGCAUAAUGAAAUCAAUAAAAACUAUCGUUCAGUACAGAAACCUGGUCAAUUCUGUAUUUUCUAUCAACUUUGGGGUGAAAAUCAGGUAAAUUGGAAUAAUGUGCAUACUUUAAAAACAUUAGCAUUUGGUACUACUCUGGGAGUACCAGGACUCAAUUUAUGGUGCGCUACCCCAGUAGAUCAUAACACUUUGUACGAAGGAGAUCAUCAGUAUACAUGUUGAAGAGAUUGGUAAAAGGACUAGCUCCUGUCAGACCCCAUAUGUGAAUGGUUAAUUAAAUUUCCAGUGUGAACUUGGAACUAUCAGUUGCCUAGGAAACGUAGUGAACGCGAACACGCCGAUUCCACAGGAGGAAAUACAGCUAAUGUGACUUAAACUAAAUGUACAUGAAUGCAGCUACUGACUGUGAAUAAAGCAAUUCUACAUCAGUGAGCCCAGGAAUAAGAAUUAAACUGACCUCUACAUAAUGGAAUUCAGCGAAUGUGAAUUAAACAACGCUAAAUCAGGGGGUUCCGAGGAAGGGUCACCGGACCCGAAACGUUAACUGUUUUCUCCUCCACAGAUACUGCCAGACCUGCUGAGCUUUUCCAGCAACUUUUAAUUUUGUUCUAAAUCAGGGAGCCCUGUUUUAAAAAGACAGAUUGCCUACAAGUUUUAGGCCAAAUUAUGUUAAACAUUUUGAAAAUUUGUGAGCUUCAGUCAAUGUCACUAAAAUCAUUGAAGAGGUUCAUUUUGAGAUUAUUCACUUGCUCGAUGAGCUGGCUUGUUUUCAUUUAGAUGUUUUGUCACCAUGCUAGGUAACAUCAUCGGUUAAGCCUCUGAUGAUUCCACUCUGCUUGGAAUUUAAUACUGUCAGGUCCGUUAUAGUGAGUAGUGUCAUUUCCGGUUUUGUUCUGUAUGGGUUUGUAUAUGAGGUCCAAUUCUAUGUGUUUGUUGGCAACACCCACAACCUGAGUUACAAAUCUUUGCUAAAACCUUAAAGAGGUUCAUUUUAUCCAUUAUGUCAAUGCUGGCAAUUUACAAGACCAAUUGAGCUGCUUUUUACUUUCUCGUCCUCCUGUUUUCUGUUAAGAUGUUGUCCAAAAUUGUUUUGUAAAGCUGGAUUAUAUCUGUCUCCACUGAUCAGUGCAUUCCAGAUCCUAACCAAUGGCUGAACAUCAUCUUUAGUUCUAUUGCCGUUGUGUUAUAUUUAAGAGCACUUGGGUAUCUCAGGGAGAGGAAUGGAUGUUGGAAGUUCUGGGAAAUAGGGAGGAUGGAAAAAGAGGUGGGAGAGUGUCAUUGCUAGUCAGGGCGAGUAUAACAGCUACUGAAAGGCAGUUCGAGAAUGAUAUGUCUACAGAGUCAGUUUGGGUUGAGGUCAGGAACAAGAAAGAAGCAGUCACUUUGUUGGGGUUUUCUUACAGACCCCCUAAUAGUUGCAGAGAAGUAGAGGAGCAGAUUGGGAGGCAGAUAUUGGAAAGGUGCAGAAGUCACAGGGUUGUAGUCAUGGGCGACUUCAACUUUCCAAAUGUUGAUUGGAUUUUAGUUGUAAUAGUUUAGAGGGAGCAGAUUUUGUCCAGUGCGUUCAGGAAGGAUUCUUGACACAGUGUUUAGUUAGACCAACACAAGGAGAGGUCACUUUGGAUUUGGUACUUGGCAACGAACCAGGCCAAGUGUUAAAUCUGUUGGUAGGAGAGCAUUUGGCGGUAGUGAUCAUAACUGUUUCUUUCACAAUAGUCAUGGAUAAGGAUAGGUACGGAUGGCAAGGUAAAGUUUAUAAUUGGGGGAAGGGUAAUUACAAUUCAGUUGGGCAAGAACUGGGUAACAUUAAUUGGGAACAGAUGCUGUCAAGGAAGAGCACCACACAAAUGUGGAGAUUGUUUAAAGAAUGCAUACCACAUGUGCUCGAUAUUUUUGUCCCUAGCAGGCAGAGAAGAUGCGGUCGAGUGUGGGAGCCAUGGUUCAUGAGAGAGAUUGAACAACUGGUUACAAGGAAGAAGGAGGCUUAUGUAAGGUUUAGAAAAAGAGGAACGGAAAAGGUUCUGGAGGGUUACAAGUUAGUCAGGAAGGAGCUGAAGAAAGGGAUUUGGAGAGCUUUAGGGGGACAUGAGAAAACCUUGGCGGAUAGGAUCAAGGAAAACUCCAAGGCUUUUUACAUGUAUGUGCAGAAUAAGAGAAUGACUCAAGAAAUGGUAGGGCCAGUCAAGGAUUGUAAAGAGAACGUGUGCACAGGGCCUAAAGAGAUAGGAGAGAUAUUUAAUGAAUACUUUUCAUUGGUAUUCACAAUUGAGAAGGACCUAGUUGUAGAGGAGGACGUUGUGAAACAGGAAGGUAGGCUAGAGGAGGUUGAUGUUAGUAAAGAAGAUGUGAAGGAAUUCUGAGGAAGUUGAAGAUAGAUAAGAACCCCAGGCCUGAUGGGAUUUAUCCAAGGAUUCUAUGGGAAGCGAGGAACGAGAUUGCAGGGCCUUUGGCAAUGAUUUUGUCGUCCUCACUGUCCACGGGUAUUGUGCUGGACGAUUGGAAAGAGGCAAACGUCGUUCCCUUGUUCAAAAAAGGGAACAGGGAUAACCUUGGGAAUUACAGACCAGUUAGUCUUACGUCAGUGGUGGGCAAGUUAUUGGAAAGGGCUGAGAGACAGGAUUUAUGAUCACUUGGAAAGGCACAGUUUGAUUCGUGAUAGCAUGGAUUUGUGAGAGGUAGAUCAUGCCUCAUAAACCUUACUGAAUUCUUUGAAGAGGUGACCAAACACGUGGAUGAAGAUGGAGCAGUGGAUACAUGGAUUUAAGUAAGGUGUUUGAUAAGGUUCCCCAUGGUAGGCUCAUGCAGAAGGAUAGGAGGCAUGGGAUAGGGGGAAAUGUGGCAGAUUGGAUUCAGAAUUGGCUGACCCUUAGAAGACAAAGGGUGGUAGUGGACGGAAAAUAUUCAUUGUGGUGGUCAGUUACAAGUGGUGUACCACAAGGAUACGUUCUGGGUCCUCUUCUAUUUGUGAUUUUUGUAAAUGAUUUGGAUGAAGGACUGGAAGGGUGGAUUAGCAAGAUCACGAACAAUACAGGAGACAAUACAGUAGACUACAGGAAAACAACACAUAUGGACCAAAUACUGAACUACAGGAGCAACCAUCCCAACACCCACAAACGAAGCUGCAUUAGAACAUUAUUCCAACAAGCCACCACACACUGCAGCACAGAGGAACUAUGAAGAGCGGAAGAAAAUCACCUAUACAGCGUAUUCAAAAAGAACGGGUACCCAAUGAACACAGUCCGCCGAUUUCUCAGGAACAAACCCAAACAAACAGACAAAACGGGCCCAGAAACCAUAACCACUCUCCCCUACAUCAAAAACAUUUCCGAAAUGACUGCCAGACUACUCGGACCUCUUGGCAUCAGGGUAGCCCACAAACCCACCAACACACUAAAACAGCAGCUAAUGAACUUAAAAUACCCUAUACAGACUACAAGCAAAAUGAACGUCAUCUACAAAAUACCUUGCAAGAACUGUGACAAACACUACAAUGGACAAACAGGCAGAAAGCUAGCCACCAGGAUACAUGAACAUCAACUAGCCACAAAACGACAUGACCCACUAUCACUAGUAUCCUUACAUUACAGAUGAGGAAGGACACCACUUUGAUUGGGACAACACAUCCAUCCUAGGACAAGCCAAACAGAGACACGCACGAGAAUUCCUAGAAGCAUGGCAUUCCAAUCGGAACUCCAUCAACAAACACAUUGGCUCCAAAUCAAUCUACCAUCCUCUGAGAAAAAGAACAGGAAAUGACAUCACCAAACCCAAGGAAACCUAAACAGAUAAAUAGAAAGUGGGACAUAACACCAACGCUUCAUCGGAGGCUCACUGAUGAUGUUACCUAGAAUGUUGACGAAACGUCUGAAAACUAACCUUCCAGCUCAGCAAGCAAACUCACAUCCAGAAAAUCAACCUGAGCUACAAAUCUUCUCAAAACUUGGUGCAGGUAGUUUUUAUGAGGGGACAUAGCUUUAAAGUGAAUGGAGGUAAAUAUCGGGGAUACGUCAGAGGUAGGUUCUUUACUGAGAGUGGUAGGGGCAUGGAAUGCUUUGCUGGAGAGGGUAUUGGACUCGGCUUCAGUAGGGGCAUUUAAAUGGCUAUUAGAUCGGCAUAUGGAUGAUGGUAUAAGGUGGGGGUGGAGGUUAGAUAGACAUUAGGUUUAGGGUAAAAGUUCGGCACAACAUCGUGGGCCAAAAGGCCAUGUUCUAUGUUAAGGGCGAGGGUGGUGAGAGAGCAUGUAGUACUUACGCACUUGUAACUUCCGUUUUGGGGGUGGCAUUUUAUAAACCUCACUAUUUUCAUAGAUCCAGGUCUGUUUUGACACAGGAUGUGGUUCACUGUACCUUGGCACUUAUGCAAUUAUCAAACUACUAGAAAACAAAAGUGAAAGGGGAGACAUGAGUGAAGCUUGAACAAAAAUUGCUCAAAAUACCUCACAAAAAGUUAAGCAUAGCUCAGACAUAUGCAGGAAAAAAAUAAGGUAUGAGAGUACUAGUUCAUCCAGAUUUAAGGGGGUCGGGUUGCAUGGAGAACAUCCGAGAAGGGAUUGUAUGAAAACCAUCCCAGUGGAGAUUGUAUUUACAGACACUUGAAAGAUUAACAUUGCACCUGCUCAACUGUACCCUUACCAGUGCUGCAAUAAUCAUUCUAUCUAUUUGAUUUCUGAAGAAGGGUCUCAGCCCAAAACAUCAGCUUUCCUGCUUCUCUGAUCCUACUUGGCCUGCUGUGUUCAUCCAGCUCUACACCUUGUUAUCUGAAAAAAGAAAACCUACUUUCAUAUCUUUGGAAGAAAAUAAAAAAGGGAUGUUCACAUUUGAUGGACCAUGAGGUUAGAAGCCAUGAAGGGAUGCUCUUCAAAUGAGGACAUCUGUGACAGUCCUGGAAACAAUAGUUGACUGUAUAAUAAUAUAACUAAAUCCCACAGGAAAAUGAGAGAAUGUUUCAUAGUGUUGACAUAAGGCCUCUGCAAGUCAGGGGUCAGUUCGCCACUAACAAUAGCUUCACCACUGUAUUGACCUUUCUUGCUGGCAAAUUUGUAAACAAAGACAAAUAAAUACUUGCAGUUCAA